AUGGGAAAGCACGAACGCAGUUCCCCACUACCACAAAUUAUGCAGUCAAGUUUCCCACAUUUGGGGAAAUCGCAGGGGUCAGCACAUCCGGAGUGCAAUGGAUUAGCCUCGCCCUGGGAAAACCACCUUCGUGAUCAUGCUAUCUCCCCUGGCAGCCUCAACAAAGAUUCCCAGAGUUGUGGGCCAUACUCUUAACACUGAAGUGCAUAGAACUUGGCAGAAAUCUACACUUCAGAGAUAAUAACGUAUCAUUCCAUGAAAUAAAGGAAAAGGCAUAAUCA
rnacentral:lncRNA from 13 species